rnacentral:rRNA from 1 species
GUGUCAGCAGCCGCGGUAAUACGUAGGCAGCGAGCGUUGUUCGGAAUUACUGGGCGUAAAGGGUGUGUAGGCGGUUCUCUAAGUUCGGUGUGAAAUCUCCCGGCUCAACUGGGAGGGUGCGCCGAGGACUGGAGGACUAGAGUGCGGGAAAGGAGAGUGGAAUUCCUGGUGUAGCGGUGAAAUGCGUAGAGAUCAGGAGGAACACCGGCGGUGUAAACGGCUCUCUGGACCGUAACUGACGCUGAAACACGAAAGCGUGGGGAGCAAACAGGAUUAGAAACCCCCGUAGUCC